rnacentral:lncRNA from 1 species
CCGCCAUGUUCAUGGGAGGGUGACGGCCACACACCUCCUGGGUCCCUGGGGAUGUGGGCUGUCCUGCCACACCCCAAGGAAGGUACUGCGUGGCCCCACCAAGGGCGCCCUGGCCCUUGACCGUGCCGGGCUUCCCCUCCACGCCUCCCCAUGGCCAUUUAGAGCCAGAACGGGGCUCUUCCGGCAUUGGCCUAGGCCCUCACUCCUCACUCCUGGACAGCCCUCCCACACCCUGAGUCUGGGCCUCCAGCAGCACACACUUCCUCCCCUUCUGUCCCCACUGAGGACAGCCACAGGAGGGGCAGGGCAGGGAGUCCCUCCUCCAGGUGCACGCCAGCAGAGCCACGGUUGUGACAUCUCGCAGUGGGGGUGCUGCAGAAAGGGUCCCCAGAGCUGUCUGCUCAGGGACAGGGGCCAUCAGCUCUCCGAGUCCCUCUGCUUCCCAGAUCUGUCUGGUUUUAGCCACUGGCAGUCUUGUGUCUGGUUCCAACCAAGCCCUCCCUCUGCUCACAGCCUUUGCUGGUGCCAGGCCCGGUUCCCAGAGGCCGGAGCUGGCCCUUCCUUCCGUGCCAGGCAGGCCUGGCCAGGGGGAGCCCUCGCUGAGCCUGCCACACUUGGGAUGUCCCCCCACCUCCGUCGUCACAGGCCUGCAGCGCCGGGCAGCACCUGACGGCCACCCGCCUCUGUGUUUCAGGGUCAAGUACGAAGCCCCCCAGGCAACGGACGGCCUGGCUGGGGCCCUGGAUGCCCGGCAGCAGAGCACGGGAGCAAUCCCCGCCACCCAGGCCCGCCUCAUGGAGGACAUUGAGCAGUGGCUGUCCACGGACGUGGUGAGUCAGGGGCGUCCCUGGCCCACCCGGAGACCGAGGCGCUGUGAGGCCAGGCUGGAGGGGCCGACGCGCAGCAGGAGCCUGGCUGGGCCCUGGCACACAGCGAGCGAGGUGCCUGUGAUUCUCGGGCACAGCACGGCCGCCCACAUCACAGACCAGCAGGCAGGCGGCUGCCUGGGGCUCUCUCCUCCCCUCAGGGAGGGACUGCAGGCCAGGCCUGACCCCCUGCUGUUGCACCUCAGCUGUGCGUCAGGGUGUCAGCUUGCUUCCCCGGCCAUGCUGGGGCAGAAGGCACCCUGGGGCCCGUGCCCAGCACCCUGCUGAGUGACUUCAUCCUCCACAUGGUAAAGGGCCAGCCGAGGCUCGGGCAAGCCAGGGGCCGCAGCUCUGCAAGGGGCUGAGGUCGGGCUGGCUGUGGUCCAGGUGCCUGAGCGCUGCCUCAGCCCUGAGGCCCCCUGGCCCGACCUGUGACCUGACCCGUCCUUCUGUGCCCUAGGGGAACGAUGCAGCGGAGCCCACCGGCGUCACCAGCGAAGGUAGUGCCCCAGCCCCUGCCCACCNNNNNNNNNNNNNNNNNNNNNNNNNNNNNNNNNNNNNNNNNNNNNNNNNNNNNNNNNNNNNNNNNNNNNNNNNNNNNNNNNNNNNNNNNNNNNNNNNNNNNNNNNNNNNNNNNNNNNNNNNNNNNNNNNNNNNNNNNNNNNGCCUCUCCAGCCCGUCGGCCACCGCCCCCCCGGGCCCCGCUGAGGGCGCAGCGCCCCGUAGGAAGGCACAGGGGAAGGCGGAGGACACGCUGUUCGCCCUGUGAGCCGGCCGCGCUGCUCUGGGGCAUGUGUCUCCCUGACCGCAGCGCUGCUCCGUGAACGUGGGGUUGGGCCUGCUGCCCUCCGGGCCCUGACACGCCUGCCUCCCCACCCCAGCCCAAAACUGCUCAGAACUGGGGGCUGCUGGGGGCUGCCCUGCCCUGGUGCUGGCCUGUGUCCGGGAGGGGGCCAGUGUCCAGGCACAAAGCUGUACGUGCAGCCCCCGCUGGAGGACAAGGCUUUGGGGACACUCCUGCCACUGCCGCUCCACCCCUCCUCGGGGCUCCACCUCCGGGCCCUGGAGCUGAGCCCCUGGUAGUGACAGGCGCUUUCUGAACCCCAAAUAAAGAUGGAAAGCCGUCCGCCAGGCUGUUUGGGUACGGGCUGCACAUCACAGUGGGGAAGGGAGCCCGCACCCCGUGGGUGGCCCCGGAUGCGGCCUCGGACUGGUCCUGGAGCCUGGUCAUGUCCCACUGGUUGUUGUUGGAUGCGGGUGCUGCCCUCCCACAGCGUGGGUUGGAGUGGGCAGCAAGGGUCUCGAGCUACCAGCCUUCCGGAUGAGCUGCGCCGGGCUCAGGAGGUGUGGCCUGGGCAGGUGGUCAGCCCUUGGGCUGCAGGCCAGGCGGGGGCUGAGGGUACUUAGGGACAGGAGCCAGCGCCCCCGCUGGGUCUGACAGGCUCGGGAGGCAGGGCCCGGCUGGUCACACCCUGCGUCCUGAGAGAGAGGAGCCUGGCGUGCUGCUGGGGGAGGUCAGCAGGGGCCAGGCCUCCCCGGUGGUCACGACGGCAGCUGCCACACUGCGUUCCCGGCCUGGGUACCGGACCUCUGUGCCUCGGUUUCCCCGCGUGUGAAGUGAGCUGCUCCCGGCCUCGCCCUCCGGGGUCCUUGGCACGCCGGGUCGGUGACCUCAGGGACUCAGAGGUUGAGGCUGUCAUCCCGCCCAGCACUGCCCCCUCCGCGCUGCACCCUUCAGCUGCGGGCAGCUCCUGACUCCCGGGCUUGGACAAGGAGUUGGGGUUCAGUGAGACCCGGCGCCCUGGUGCUCCUCAGGAGGGCUCCCUCUUCCAGUAGACGCAACUAGAUCCCCGGGCUGCUCCUCCCUCCUCCCUGCACUCAGUCCUAAGCUCCCCGGGCUGGGCUCCCACUGUGACCCCCCUGCCUCAGCCUGCCAGAGUGCUGCCGCGGCUGGCUUGCUGCUUCUCUUCCUGUGCCCUCCAGGUUCCCAUUGUCUUUCUUUACUGAUGUCCCACUCCAUCAUCAGGGUCACUGGUCUGUUCUCCCCACGUCUUGCUGUGGACCCCUGCUCCAGCACCUACAUCGGGACAGGAAGUGAGGUCCAUGCACUGCUGUGCACACGCAUCACCCAGGGCACACGCAGCCCUGGUAACCCUGGCCCAGGUGCUGGUGCAUGAGGCCCAGAUGAGCCUGGACCGGGAGGGAGACCAUCCUCUCCGGUGCUGGAGGCCGGGGUCUCCCCGCUGCGUAUAUAUCCUGUGACCUCGGGGUACCUCGAGUGCCUUAGCUCCGCCUUCCAAGCUCCUGGGGUUCAGGCUUCGACAAGGCCCAGGGGACACUGUGAGGUAGUCAGGCUCCACACUCUGCCCCAGGGGGUUGUGGGCAAGGGUGAUGCAGAGUGGAUGGCCCCACAGCUGCUGCCACGUGUUGGGGUGACCCGAUGCAUUGCCCUCCCCCAAGCCCAGGCACCCACAGAAUGUGUGCAAGGACAGGAACCAGGACUGGGGGGGGUCCCGGCUGGGAGCCCCACCAGCUGGGAGCCACCACAGUGCCCAGGGCACUGGCUGGGACUGGCCACUGCAGUUUGGACCAAGCCUUCCCUGUCCCUGACCUAGGUUUCCCUGUUUAUUCAACAAGGAACAUGAGUCUCAGUUUCCUGGGCACCACACCCAGGCCCCCAAAAAAGAACAAAAUGCAAGGAAAACCCAACAUCUGCCAAGAUGGGGACAGGGAUGAGGGGACCCGCAGCCGGGAGCAAAUACCAUCACUUGAUGGUUACAGCAUCAGCUCACACUGACACCAGCUCCGCCGCACAGAGCGGAGGCCCAAGGCACAGAGCCCAGGGCCACACCCAGGCCACUGCAGGCUUAGGGCGCCCGCAGGCUCUGCACUGUCCCCCCAGCUGCCGUGACAGGUCAGCAGCC